GACGAACGCUGGCGGCAUGCCUAAUACAUGCAAGUCGAGCGAACAGAUGAAGUGCUUGCACUUCUGACGUUAGCGGCGAACGGGUGAGUAACACGUAAGGAAUCUACCUAUAAGCGGGGGAUAACAUUCGGAAACGGGUGCUAAUACCGCAUAAUAUCUUCUUCCGCAUGGAAGAAGAUUGAAAGACGGCUCUGCUGUCACUUAUAGAUGACCUUGCGGUGCAUUAGUUAGUUGGUGGGGUAAUGGCCUACCAAGACGAUGAUGCAUAGCCGACCUGAGAGGGUGAUCGGCCACAUUGGGACUGAGACACGGCCCAAACUCCUACGGGAGGCAGCAGUAGGGAAUCUUCCGCAAUGGGCGAAAGCCUGACGGGGCAGUGCCGCGUGAGUGAAGAAGGCCUUCGGGUCGUAAAACUCUGUUAUAAGAGAAGAACAAAUUGUAGAGUAACUGCUACAGUCUUGACGGUAUCUUAUCAGAAAGCCACGGCUAACUACGUGCCAGCCGCCGCAGUAA
rnacentral:rRNA from 1 species